rnacentral:lncRNA from 1 species
UGAGAGGCUGUCAUGUGGAUGAUUCUCUUGUGCUUCUGACUUUUUACAUCUCUACCAUGACUCAACUGCCUUGAACUUCCCUCAAAGCUUAGAGCCUUCACCUCUUAGAAAAAUCCAUCCUCCAUGCUUCCCUCUAUGGAGAAUUCAAGCUUUUGGAGGGCAGUUGUCUUUGUAUCCCCAACAUCUAGAUCAAUGCCUGCAUGAGUCCUACUCUGAUGCCUCAUUGUGGAUGGAGUUGACUCUGACUUCUUGAUGGCUGUGCUAGUGGAGUAUAAGUUUUGCCAGCAUGAAAGACUUCAAAUGUGGUAACAGAUUGAGUCUAAUUACUGAGGAUUAACUUCACUAAAU